AGCCAUCUUGGCAGGGGGGUUGUGGAUCUUUGCUUAAGAACUUCCAUUUCCAGUUGGCACAUGGGUUACUUUGUUAACCUGUAAAGAAUCUGUUUUUGAAGAAGCAUGUGACUAUUUUUGAGAGCAGAGUUAUAAAAUUGCAUGCAAUGAUGGCUUGAGGGGGGAAAAGAAGAAGUAAAAAAAAGGGCACUAGGAGGACUUACGUUCAAUAUUUUAAAUAACUAUAAUGUGUUAGUUACCUCAGGAGAAGUUGCUCUUUAAAUCUGAAGGUGAGAUAGCAACUCUAAAUUUCUUUUUCUUUGAAUGAGGUACGCAAGAGAUUCGUAGUGUUCUUGUCAUUUUAAAGAGUCACAUAUGUAGACACAGAGCAAUUCAGGAUCUGAACCUGGGGUAGCAGAGUAAGACAGAUUAGGAAGAGUUAGAAAUACAAUGCAGAUGUCUUGACUUGAACUUACAUGUUCUACAUGCUCGUCUCCCGUUUUUAUAACUCAUUUGGAUAAGGUGCCCGCUCUUCAAAGAUUGAUAUUUUAUAGCCAGAUGACUGAAAAACAUCGAUCUCUGGGUCAUGAUGGUGAGAGAAGCGUGCUGUGAAGGAAAUCCCUGGAUGAGAGCAAGACAAGGAAUAAUCUGGUAUCACUCUCAGCAUGCCUCGGAGAUACUGCAGGUUUCUUUCCAGACAACCGCAAUAAAGCGAGCAUUGCAGCAAAGCCAGUCGCAAUCUUUUUGCAAUGUGUAAAAAAUGCAAUGUCUGUGAGGCACCAUAAAGUGAAGAGCAAUAGAACGAGAAUACAGUUGGAAGACCACUUAUGAGAUCACAAAUAAUCAGGGCGUGUAACAGGAUUGUUCACAAACUACAAAAGUUGAAGACUGGCUUCACCACAGCACGUGUUUUAAGAAAAUGCCGUGGUCCUCAUUAGAAUUGGAGCUGAGUUAUAAUGAGGUGAUUUUGCUGACAAACUGCGCCCAGCCUCAUCCUGCUAAAUUCUGCACUGCAGCAAGUACUGUCAGCCUCUGGGAUGGACUUUCCCUGCUGCAAUCCUGCUGAACUUUGACUCUUUAGCAUAUAAGAAAAACAAUGGCAGAAUACAACGUCCCUGGUAUCAUUAGGAUUGGGAAACCGUCUUGCAGUUGUUUGGCAAAGCCAUUGCACAAGGACAUCGUUAAUCUUCCUUGAAAUUUCAUGAAAAAGAGAUUUGUACUCUAAUCUUCCUGAAUUAUCUGCCUCUAAGAUUGGCCUUCUGUUCAUUGUUUUCCUGUUUUUGACAAUGGCAAGGGUCCAAUCUACAGCGAGUCCAACAAGAGCUUCUGGCCAGUUGUCCAUCAGCUACAACUGGAAGCACAGAUGGAAUCCAACGUGGACCCACAUUCCAACCCAUGAUGGUGAAUGCCUAGAGCACUGGUUUGAGGAGACUAUGAGACUGUGAUGAGAUUUGUCGGGAGAAGAUCGGUCAUCUUUUAGUGAUGAGUGAUGCCUACCUUGGGCAUAGGCCAGGGGAAAUGGGAUGCAUGUGUUGUUUCUUUGCUGACCAUGACCCAUUGGUUAGGAUCUAUGUUGUAGAAAGUAAUAGGUAUUUAAAUCUCUCCAUGAUGUGAGACCUCCCCUUCUCUAGUCUCGUUUUCCAUUAUGUUCUACUUCAUAUGUGAGGCUUCAGCGACGUCACAGUAUUUGUUGCUUCCCACACAGGCCAUUCUGUUCCUUGUUCUGUGGAACUUUCACCCCCACCCCCUCCCUUGCUGGCUGCCUCCUACUUUCGGUUUAAGGCUCAGCUUGACAUCUUCUAGAGAGGGUGAUUUGUCUGACCUUUUCUUUCUCCCCUUGUUAUUUCAGAAUGGAUUCAGUGCCUUGUGCUUCCUCCUCAAAGUGUCCUAAGAAUAUUUCCUUCAUAACAUGUGUUUCCUGUUAUUAAAAUGAUCAGUUUGCACUUGCCAUUUCCUCUCUAAACCGGAAGCUUUCCCAUUUUGAAUAUUUUAUUCAUGUACGUAUAAAUAUACAAUAUGUUAUCGGAUUAUAUAACUAAACUGCAUCUGGUACAUCCAUGGUGCUGAAUUAAUAUUUAUUUAGUUGAACUUUGCCAUUUUAAUUAUGUAUAACCUUGUAGUAUAUAUAAAUAUUUGUAUUGAAGACAGCUUUCUGGCUGAAUUAUAUCUUCCUUAAGGGCAAGGUACCUGGAAACAUAGAUAUUAAAAAUAAGUUAAAGCUGCCCUGGCCACAUGGCUCAG